ensembl:ncRNA F34D6.10 ncRNA
CUUACCCUGCGCUCCAUCAAUCCCUAUCAGCACAACGAACACGAAAAAGAUGGGCGGUACCACGCAGACGGAUGACGUGGCAAAUUGAGCCAGGAGGCUCCAGAUGGCGGCUCGAUGUUUUCGAUAGUUUGAGGCAGAGAUUUG